rnacentral:rRNA from 1 species
GACGAACGCUGGCGGCGUGCUUAACACAUGCAAGUCGAACGGAAAGGCCCUGCUUUUGUGGGGUGCUCGAGUGGCGAACGGGUGAGUAACACGUGAGUAACCUGCCCUUGACUUUGGGAUAACUUCAGGAAACUGGGGCUAAUACCGGAUAGGAGCUCCUGCUGCAUGGUGGGGGUUGGAAAGUUUCGGCGGUUGGGGAUGGACUCGCGGCUUAUCAGCUUGUUGGUGGGGUAGUGGCUUAACAAGGCUUUGACGGGUAGCCGGCCUGAGAGGGUGACCGGCCACAUUGGGACUGAGAUACGGCCCAGACUCCUACGGGAGGCAGCAGUGGGGAAUAUUGCACAAUGGGCGGAAGCCUGAUGCAGCAACGCCGCGUGCGGGAUGACGGCCUUCGGGUUGUAAACCGCUUUCGCCUGUGACGAAGCGUGAGUGACGGUAAUGGGUAAAGAAGCACCGGCUAACUACGUG